rnacentral:rRNA from 1 species
CCAACAGGGAUUGCCCCAGUAACGGCGAGUGAAGCGGCAACAGCUCAGAUUUGAAAGCCGGCCCCCUGCGGUGCCCGCAUUGUAAUCUGCAGAGGACGCCUCUGGCGCAGCGGCCCCCUAAGUCCCCUGGAACGGGGCGCCAUAGAGGGUGACAGCCCCGUGAGCGGGCCGCUAAGCCUGUGUGAGGCCCCUUCGACGAGUCGAGUAGUUUGGGAAUGCUGCUCUAAACGGGAGGUAAAUUCCUUCUAAAGCUAAAUACCCGCCGGAGACCGAUAGCGCACAAGUAGUGUAAACGAAAGGUGAAAAGCACCCUGGAGAGAGGGUUAAACAGAACGUGAAAUUGCUGAAAGGGAAGCGCCGGCGAUCAGACGCGGGCCGUGCGGUUCAGCCGGGCUUUUGCCCGGCGAUCUCCGCCACGGCCCGGGCCAGCACCGGCUGCGGCGGGGGUUGAAUGGCGCCGGGGACGUGGCUCCCCCGGGAGUGUUAUAACCCGGCGCUCGAUGCCCCCGCGGCGGCCGAGGUACCUGCGCCUUCGGGCAUGGGUGCUGGCGUAAUGGUCAUCGGCGACCCGUCUUGAAACACGGACCAAGGAGUCAAGGUAUUGCGCGAGUGUUGGGGCGUCAAACCCCCGACGCGCAGUGAAAGCGAACGCUCGUGGGAGCCUCCGGGCGCACCACGGACCGAUCCCGAAGCUUGCGGAAGGAUUUGAGUAGGAGCGCAGUGCCUUGGACCCGAAAGAUGGUGAACUAUGCUCGGAUAGGGUGAAGCCAGGGGAAACUCUGGUGGAGGCUCGCAGCGGUUCUGACGUGCAAAUCGAUCGUCAAAUCUGGGCAUGGGGCGAAAGACUAAUCGAACCAUCUAGUAGCUGGUUACCG